UAGGGAAUCUUCGGCAAUGGACGAAAGUCUGACCGAGCAACGCCGCGUGAGUGAAGAAGGUUUUCGGAUUGUAAAACUCUGUUGGUAGAGAAGAACGUUGGUGAGAGUGGAAAGCUCAUCAAGUGACGGUAACUACCCAGAAAGGGACGGCUAACUACGUGUCAG
rnacentral:rRNA from 1 species